CCCCCCCCCUUAAGUCUCCGCCAAGACUGAUAGACUCCUUAAGCCAAUUCUGUAACCAAGAGCAUUCCUAUGUUUAUAUUUUAUUUAUUAUUGAGUUACUGUUUAACCUUUAGUUCUUCUCUGAUUAGAGCUAGGAUUUGUAUAGUAAUAAUAUACAAAUCCUUGAUAAGAGCAGAGACAUAUAAGUAUUAUAUGUCUCUGAUAAGAGUAAUCCUCGUUUGUCAAUUUUCCAUAAUUCCGCGGCACCACCCCCUCAGCAAACAGUCUUGUAUUUAAUUCUGAAUAGAACAAAAUGUAAAAUAAGUGAAUAAGUUAUAGAUUAAAUAAUAAAUAAAUAAUUAAAUAUUCUUUAUUUAGUUUUUUCUUUAUUCUCACUUCUUCCAGAGACAUGUACGAAUGUACAUGUAUGUCUCUGAUUCUUCAUAGUCUUAUAUUAAGGAUUUGUAGAGUAUACAAAUCCUUGAUUAUAACAAAGGCAUAUAAUACUCAGUGUACCACUUCUGAACUUUUUUGUAAUUAUUAUCUCUACUUAAUUCCCCAUUCUUGAUUCCAGACCGGGUUCCGGACUAACUCUCAUAUACGUAAAUGAUCGUAAAUGUACGAAAGCUUGACACGUCGAAUACGAAAACCCGGAAAUAUUUUCUCCGUUGCCGUUUUUUAUACUAUGACGCAAAAUCCAUGGACGCUCGUCUGCUGCUGAAUUCAUGUUUUACAGUUUAACAAGGAUUUGUAUAGUGUCACUGUACAAAUCCUUGAGUUUAAAGAAUGGAAAGAUAUAUUAUAGUCAGAUAGAUAAUACAAAGAACUCUGGUCUUUCAAAACCGAUGGGUCAAAAAGUUAUUAGUAUGAACAGAUAAAUUGAAAUGGAUUGCUUGUCGAUUAACUGGAAGAAACCGGGGAACGAAAGAAAGUUGUGUUUCUCUUAACGGAUUACGUACCCAAUAUUUUGUACUUGGAAAGCGCAACGAAAGGUAAAUAUUAUCAUGUACAUAUUUAAGAAGAUGCUAGUGCUAUACUUUUCACGAAAAAAAUUUGACUUUAUAAAUGUCAUCGCAUGCAAACCCGAAAAUCAGUCAAAGAUUGUCAAGAACGGACGCAAGUCAACUCGACCCACUGGCAAAACGCCCUACUUUUUUAACAACACGCCUCCCUUUUUAAAAAUAUCCCACUCUUGUUAAGGGAGUUACCAUGUGAGUUUUAUUGGGGGGUACUGGUAGGGGUGUGUUAUUUGAAAAAUAUGCGGAACUGGAGUUCUGUCAACUUAUAAGUUAAAAAAAGCUAGGAUUUAUGUAAAGAAUUACCAGGAACAAAUAUAGUGAAAAAUUAACUGGCAGGACAGAGAUUUCAAUUAAAAAAAAAUGCAGGAUAACAUUCUUAUCCUAGCCCCCACCCCAUAAAAAUCAAGUGGUGGCUUCCUUACCAACUCACCCCGCUUUUAAAAAAAAUUGCCCCACUUAUGAAAAGGGUUAAAUCCGUAAAAUAUACUCCUGUCAACAAUGGCAACUCGCCUAACUUGGGUAAAAUCCAAAUGAAUAUAGAAUAUAAAAAAAAUAAAGGUCUGCCAACUCGCCCGUAUUUACUUAUCUACCCAGAAAUUAGAAGACACUGAUACAAAGAAAUCGAAAUUUAAUAUAUGAUAUUUAUUGAUUUAAAAUGAUGUUUCACUUCUUAAAAUAUGAUUGUAGAUUCAUUAUUUAUUAUUAAAUUAUUAUGUAAUUUAUGUAUUUAUUUAUUGUAUCAUAAUCUAUUUGAUUCUUUUUUUAGCUGACUCAAAAUCAUGUAUGAUGAUGCUGUUUGGGCCCCCUGGUUGUACAUAGGAAGUGGACUCCUCGAGAAGAUGAAAGGUCUGCUUUACAUCAUUUUCAAUGAAAGUACAAGUACUUUGAGAAGUAGGAGAAGCUAAGCAACAGAACAGAAUUCAUUUGGGUCAUUGAUGUCUAGAUUAUAUAGUGGAUUCAUAGAUUGUCAUAUUGAUUUAUGUGCAUAUGAGCACAGAGGAGCAGUAGUCAAUGAAUAAUUUUGUGAUGAGAGCUUGUAACCAAAUGAAAGGAAAGUACAGUAUUGACAAUGAUUGAUAUCACUGGUGAACAUGUAUGUCAUGUAGGUGUGAAUGUCCUGCAAAAAAGAACUGAUAUCAAAUUACCAUUCACAGUGAACAUGGUGAAGAAUAACCAAUACCAUGAAUACAGGACAUAGAAGACUACCUCACAAAUAUGGGAAUUUUACCAAAAAUACAACAUUUAAAUUUACAAAGAAGACAUUUAUUUUGACAUUCAUGGACUUUGAAAGUAAAGAAAUUAGAAUGUGAAUAAAAAUCCUUGGAAAUAAAAUUUUGAACUUUGAAGGAGAUUGAAGAUUAUGUUUGUUCUAAGAAAGUUUUAAGAAAACAGAUACAUUCAAAACUGUAAAAAGGAAACAAUACAAUAUUCACAAUUACUCUUGAGAUCAAUUACUCUUGAUAUAUAAUUAAAAGAUCAUAUAAAAGUAAGGAAAUUUGGUUGAAUUGCCAAUGAGAAAAAUAUCCACCAGAGUUCAAAUGAUGUGAUAGUGAGCAAUUAUAGGUCCUCCAACAAUGAAAAAAAACCAACUAUAUAGUGUGCUAUGAAAAGGUUUGGAUAUGACAAAUAGAGAAAACUAAGAGCCUUAUUUUAACAAGUUAAUAUAUGAAAGCAAAAUAUGAACCAAAGACAAGCACUGAAAUACUUAUGAUUAAUGUUGAUUUACUCUUGAAUAUUCAUGUAGAAUGUUUAAAAAGAUUUUAAAUCAAAGUUAUCAUCAAUAUUCAACUUGUUAAACAACAAGUCACUGUAUGACAGAAAGUUCUAUGCCAAAAACCUUGUAUGUAUUGCAUCAGAAACAAAUUUUAGAUAGAACACUAGGAGACUAUAUAAGGGAAUGCAGAUAAAAAGUAUCAUCACCUUAAAAUAAAGUAUAGCAUUUUGUCAUUGACAGGUCCAUCAAAAGUUUCAGCAAUAUAACUGUUACAUAAAAAUCAAACCAUACAGGUAUUUUUUUUCAAAAUAUCUCUAUAUAAUAAUAUGCAUAAUAUUAAUAGACGUUAUACGUCCGUGGUACAAAAAAUCCGUAUUACGGACGUGGUACUAAACAUCCGUAUUACGGACGUAGCAUUAUAAAUCCGUAUUACGGACGUUAAACGGAUGUUUUACGGUUUGAUACGGACGUAUUAUGGAUGGGAAGCAACGGACGUUUUACGUCCGUGGUACUAUUCGUCCGUAGUUUUUCCGUAUAAUACGGACGUAUUACGGAUUUUUUACGGACGUAAUACGUCCGUAGCUAUUUUACCUG